UUGGGCUUUUUAGGGGUAGUGAGCUUGGGCUUUUUGAGGGUAGUGGGCUCAGGCUUUUUGGGGGUGGUUGUAGGUUCCUUGGUGGUGGUGGUUGUGGGAGAAGGCAUUUGAGGAGUGGUGGGUGUAAGAUGUGGUUGUAGUUUCAGCUUCGGUUGUAGUUUUAA